AUUGAACGCUGGCGGCAUGCUUUACACAUGCAAGUCGAACGGCAGCGCGGGCUUCGGCCUGGCGGCGAGUGGCGAACGGGUGAGUAAUUCAUCGGAACGUGCCCAGUAGUGGGGGAUAGCUCGGCGAAAGCCGGAUUAAUACCGCACACGACCUGAGGGGGAAAGCGGGGGAUCUUCGGACAUCGCGCUAUUGGAGCGGCCGAUGGCAAAUUAGCUAGUUGGUGGGGUAAAGGCCUACCAAGGCGGCGAUCUGUAGCUGGUCUGAGAGGACGACCAGCCACACUGAGACUGAGACACGGCCGAGUCUCCUACGGGAGAGAGCAGUGGGGAAUUUUGGACAAUGGGCGAAAGCCUGAUACAGCAAUGCCGCGUGUGAGAUGAAGGCCUUCGGGUUAUAAAGCACUUUUGACGGGAAAGAAAAGAACUGUGCAAAUACCACGGUUCGAUGACGGUACCCGCAGAAUAAGCACCGGCUAACUACGUG
rnacentral:rRNA from 1 species